UUUUCGUCAAAUAUAUCGACUAAUCCAAAAAGAUGAACAUCCUCCCGAGAAAACGCGUUUCUUAUUUUCAUCAACUCUAAACAGUGAAGAUCCAGGAAACAAAUCCAGAACAGAGAAACGAAGAAACUCACCGAGAAGGAAUAGGCUUUUUCUAAGCGUUCGUUUGUCCAGCCCAGAUUCUACAACUGUCAUUUUACCAAAGCAAAGCCUGAAGUGUUUGCAGAUCAGAAGAUCAACAUGAAUCAGAGAUCACCCGCGAGAGGCCGUCAAUAAUCAGCUCUUCAACCCAAGUGAGAUCCAUCCUAAUCCAAAACACGUAAUUCAGCAAAAUGUUGGAAGUGAUGAAAUCCCCCGUCAGAAGCUGUCGUGCUCUCAGCUCAUUCACUUUCUGAAAACAAGCAGCAAAUCAAAACUAGCGUCUGAACUGCCGUCAUCAGCUGCUGAAGUCAAAUACAGG